AGGACGAACGCUGGCGGCGUGCUUAACACAUGCAAGUGGAGCGACGAACCAGGCUUCGGCCUGGGGCAAAGCCGCGAACGGGUGAGUAUCACGUGGGUAACGUGCCCCAAUGACCGGGAUAACCCGAGGAAACUCGAGCUAAUACCGGAUGUGCUGAACAGCCGUAAGGCAGUUCAGGAAAGGAAGCUUCGGCCUCCGCAUUGGGAGCGGCCCGCGGCCCAUUAGCUUGUUGGUGAGGUAACGGCUCACCAAGGCUGCGAUGGGUAGCUGGUCUGAGAGGACGAUCAGCCACACUGGGACUGAGACACGGCCCAGACUCCUACGGGAGGCAGCAGUGGGGAAUCUUGCGACAAUGCGACGAAAGCGUAGACGCAGACAACGGCCGCGGUGGAGGGAAGACGGCCGUUCGGUUACGGUUAACCUCCUUUACGAGGUAGGGAACGGAAGGUUACG
rnacentral:rRNA from 1 species